ACACGGGACUGCCGGUCUUAAGCCGGAGGAAGGUGGGGAUGAUGUCGAGUCAGCAUGGCCUUUAUAUCCUGGGCUACACACACGCUACAAUGGCCAACACAAUAGGUUGCUAGGCCGCGAGGUGGCGCCAAUCCAUAAAGUUGGUCUCAGUUCAGAUUGUAGGCUGCAACCCGCCUGCAUGAAGAUGGAGUUGCUAGUAACCGCAGGUCAGCUAUACUGCGGUGAAUACGUUCCCGGGGCUU
rnacentral:rRNA from 1 species